rnacentral:rRNA from 1 species
UGUUCCAGGUAAAUCCGGUUCACUUUAACACUGAGGCGUGACGACGAGGCACUACGGUGCUGAAGCAACAAAUGCCCUGCUUCCAGGAAAAGCCUCUAAGCAUCAGGUAACAUCAAAUCGUACCCCAAACCGACACAGGUGGUCAGGUAGAGAAUACCAAGGCGCUUGAGAGAACUCGGGUGAAGGAACUAGGCAAAAUGGUGCCGUAACUUCGGGAGAAGGCACGCUGACACGUAGGUGAAGUGAUUUACUCAUGGAGCUGAAGUCAGUCGAAGAUACCAGCUGGCUGCAACUGUUUAUUAAAAACACAGCACUGUGCAAACACGAAAGUGGACGUAUACGGUGUGACGCCUGCCCGGUGCCGGAAGGUUAAUUGAUGGGGUCAGCGCAAGCGAAGCUCCUGAUCGAAGCCCCGGUAAACGGCGGCCGUAACUAUAACGGUCCUAAGGUAGCGAAAUUCCUUGUCGGGUAAGUUCCGACCUGCACGAAUGGCGUAAUGAUGGCCAGGCUGUCUCCACCCGAGACUCAGUGAAAUUGAACUCGCUGUGAAGAUGCAGUGUACCCGCGGCAAGACGGAAAGACCCCGUGAACCUUUACUAUAGCUUGACACUGAACAUUGAGCCUUGAUGUGUAGGAUAGGUGGGAGGCUUUGAAGUGUGGACGCCAGUCUGCAUGGAGCCGACCUUGAAAUACCACCCUUUAAUGUUUGAUGUUCUAACGUGGACCCGUGAUCCGGGUUGCGGACAGUGUCUGGUGGGUAGUUUGACUGGGGCGGUCUCCUCCUAAAGAGUAACGGAGGAGCACGAAGGUUGGCUAAUCCUGGUCGGACAUCAGGAGGUUAGUGCAAUGGCAUAAGCCAGCUUGACUGCGAGCGUGACGGCGCGAGCAGGUGCGAAAGCAGGUCAUAGUGAUCCGGUGGUUCUGAAUGGAAGGGCCAUCGCUCAACGGAUAAAAGGUACUCCGGGGAUAACAGGCUGAUACCGCCCAAGAGUUCAUAUCGACGGCGGUGUUUGGCACCUCGAUGUCGGCUCAUCACAUCCUGGGGCUGAAGUAGGUCCCAAGGGUAUGGCUGUUCGCCAUUUAAAGUGGUACGCGAGCUGGGUUUAGAACGUCGUGAGACAGUUCGGUCCCUAUCUGCCGUGGGCGCUGGAGAACUGAGGGGGGCUGCUCCUAGUACGAGAGGACCGGAGUGGACGCAUCACUGGUGUUCGGGUUGUCAUGCCAAUGGCACUGCCCGGUAGCUAAAUGCGGAAGAGAUAAGUGCUGAAAGCAUCUAAGCACGAAACUUGCCCCGAG